rnacentral:snoRNA from 1 species
GGGGCGGUGAUGAUUCCAACAUGCCAUCUGAUUGCCCAUGCUGAAAUCCAGAGGCUGUUUCUGAGCUG